ACUAUGAAAGAAUGUAAUAAACCAAAGGAAAAGUGAAGUGCAACUUAUUGAUCAUAGAUAUAUUUCGAAAUCUGCUAAAAUUCUUUGCAAUUUACAAAAAUAUAAUCGGCGUAAAACUCUGUCUGUGUUGGGCUGCGGUUUUCGCGUUUGUUGUUGUUUGUGUGUGUAUCCAAAAGGCAUGUUGUUGUGUUUUUGUGCAAUGAGAGAAGCAGUGAGAGCUUUGGAGAAAAAGUAAUAAUAGUGUUUUGUUGCAUUGCAUGUUUAAGAAAAUCUGUUAUACUUCAUCAAUCAGCACAAAUCAACAAAUUUGCAGACCGACAUUUUACAGGCAGCAACCAUGGCAAAUGAAUAUCUAAAGCAGCAGAUAAAUAUCUAUAUAG